CAGUAGCCGCGGGAAUACGGAGGGUGCAAGCGUUAAUCGGAAUUACUGGGCGUAAAGCGCACGCAGGCGGUUUGUUAAGUCAGAUGUGAAAUCCCCGAGCUUAACUUGGGAACUGCAUUUGAAACUGGCAAGCUAGAGUCUUGUAGAGGGGGGUAGAAUUCCAGGUGUAGCGGUGAAAUGCGUAGAGAUCUGGAGGAAUACCGGUGGCGAAGGCGGCCCCCUGGACAAAGACUGACGCUCAGGUGCGAAAGCGAGGGGAGCAAACAGGAUUAGAUACCCCAGUAGUCCCUGUCUCUUAUAC
rnacentral:rRNA from 1 species